rnacentral:ncRNA from 1 species
UUUUUUAAGAGUUUGAUCCUGGCUCAGGAUGAACGUUGGUGGCGUGCCUGAGAUAUGCAAGUCGAAUGCACCUGUCGCAAGGCAGGUAAAUGGCGGACGGCUGAGUAACACGUAGGAACCAACCCCAAAAUAAGGGAUAGCCCCGCGAAAGCGGGGAUAAUACCUUAUAGUCCCCGCUUUUUGUGGGGUAAAGCGUUUAACGGCGCGUUUUGGGACGGUCCUGCGGCCUAUCAGGUAGUUGGUGGGGUAAUAGCCUACCAAGCCUAUGACAGGUAGCUGGCCCGAGAGGGUGUUCAGCCAGAGGGGUACUGAGAUACGGACCCCAUUUCUACGGAAAGCAGCAAUCAGGAAUAGUCGGCAAUGGGCGAAAGCCUGACCGCGCAACGCCGCGUGUAGGAAUAAGCUCUAACGAGUGUAAACUACUGUUGUAAGGGAAGAAUCCCGAUGUUACAUCGGGGUGACUGUACCUUAUAAGAAAGGGGCCGCUAACUGCGUGCCAGAAGCGUCGGUAACACGUGGGCCCCAAACGUUAUCCGGUUUUAUUGGGCGUAAAGGGUCGUGUAGGCUUUCUUAUAAGUCUUGUCUUAAAUACUAUGGCUUAACCAUAGGAAAGGGCAGGAAACUAUAAGAAUUGAAUUUUCUUUAGGGAAACUGGAACUUAGGGAGGAGUAGUGAAAUGCGUUGAUACCCUAGGGAACACCGGUGGCGAAGGCGAGUUUCUAAAAGAUAAUUGACGCUGAGACACGAAAGCUAGGGGAGCGAAGCAGAUUAGAGACCUGCGUAGUCCUAGCCCUAAACGAAUGUCUGCUAGCUGCAUGAAACUAGUACCCAGUGAUCUGUUUUUUUACUGAUAACUGAGUUCUGGUUUCGUGUGGCGAAGGUAACCCGUUAAGCAGACCGCCUGGGGAGUACGGCCGCAAGGUUGAAACUCAAAGGAAUUGGCGGGGAGGCACACAACCAGUGGAUCAUGUGGUUCAAUUCGAAACGAAACGAAAAACCUCACCAAGGUUUGACAUCCCGAAGUCCUA